rnacentral:lncRNA from 1 species
GGGUUCCUGUUUUUUUUUUCAUGUUUCAGGUAUUUUUAGGUUUUUAGAUAUUUUGAAUCUUUUCGGGUCCUAUAUACCUGAACCGAUCUGGAUCCAUUACGAUUACAUCCUGUCCAAUAGUAUUUUAAUAUUAGGUUUUUAACGUUGUUACAUAAACCGUGGUUGAUGAAAUAUUGUUAGAGAAAAAGUAUCAUAAGAAAUAAUAUUUUGGGAUUUAUUAUAAAUAUUAAAAAUAUUGUAUAGUUAAAAUCAUUAAUGGUAGAAUAAUAAAUAGUUAUACAUGGGUUCAACAUCUUCUUAUAUUAGAUUUUUAGAAUGAUUUUAUUUUAAUUUUAUAGAUUUUUUUUUAUUAUCUUAAUAUUUAGCCGAAGUCUUAAUUUGGUAUACAUAUUAGUCAAAUAAUUUAUUUUUAUGGAAAGCGACUAAUUCAAUUAAAAUAAAAUUUUAAGUAUUUUUUGUGAAUAAAAUAUAAUUAUGUAAAAGUAGUAAGGUUACAUUUUCUAUAAGAAUUAAAUGUUAUAAGUAUUAU